rnacentral:rRNA from 1 species
AUUGAACGCUGGCGGCAUGCCUUACACAUGCAAGUCGAACGGUAACGGGCCUUCGUGUGCCGACGCGUGGGGGACGGGUGAGUAAUACAUCCGAACGUGCCCGACCGUGGGGGAUAACGAAGCGAAAGCUUUCCUAAUACCGCAUCCGAUCUACGGUUCAACUCAGUGGACCGCGAGGCCUUGCGCCGACGGAUCGGCCGAGGGCGGAGGAGUUUGUUGGUGGGGUAAACGGUUACGCAGCCGACGAUCUUGAGCUGUUCCGGGAGGAUGAUCAGCCACAUGGGGACGGAGACACGGCCCAGAGUCCUAAGGGAGGCCGCAGUGGGGAAUGGGGGACAGUGGUCGGAAGCCUGAUCCAGCGAUGCGGAGUGCAGGAUAAAGGCCUCCGGGUUGUAAACUGGUCUUGUACGGAACGAAAAGCCUUCUUUUAAUACAGGAGGGUCAUGACGGUACCGUAUGAAGAAGCACCGGCUAACUACGUG